CGAAGGGGGCUAGCGUUGUUCGGAAUUACUGGGCGUAAAGCGUACGUAGGCGGAUUUGUAAGUAGGGGGUGAAAUCCCCAGGCUCAACCUGGGAACUGCCUUCUAGACUGCAAGUCUUGAGAUCAGGAGAGGCGAGUGGAAUUCCGAGUGUAGAGGUGAAAUUCGUAGAUAUUCGGAGGAACACCAGUGGCGAAGGCGACUCGCUGGACUGAUACUGACGCUGAGGUACGAAAGCGUGGGGAGCAAACAGGAUUAGAUACCCUGGUAGUCCACGCCUUAAACGAUGAGAGCUAGUUGUCAGUAAGCAUGCUUAUUGGUGACGCAGCUAACGCAUUAAGCUCUCCGCCUGGGGAGUACGGCCGCAAGGUUA
rnacentral:rRNA from 1 species